UACUCCUACGGGAGGCAGCAGUGGGGAAUCUUGCGCAAUGGGCGAAAGCCUGACGCAGCCAUGCCGCGUGAAUGAUGAAGGUCUUAGGAUUGUAAAAUUCUUUCACCGGGGACGAUAAUGACGGUACCCGGAGAAGAAGCCCCGGCUAACUUCGUG
rnacentral:rRNA from 1 species